GUUUGCUGCCGUAAUUUAAGAAUAUGUACAUUGGACACAGACCGCACUAUAUCUGGAAUCUAAGAAAAUAAUAUUUAUACAUAGAUUAAUUUCGCUUUUUAUUAGAUUUUAUUUUGAUAUUAUUUACUUGAAGUAACAGUCUUUCAUCAGAAAAUAUAACAGCUUGUGUCCAAUCAAUUCGUUCGUGAAAAGGAAGUGCCCAACCAUUACUUAAAAUAACUGGAAUGCAUCCAGCUCUUAAAGCUUCUAAAAAUCGAAAACUACCAAGUCUUCUUCCUCUUGGUACAA